UACAGGGGGGCAAGCGUUGUUCGGAAUUACUGGGCGUAAAGGGCUCGUAGGCGGCCAACUAAGUCACACGUGAAAUCCCCAGGCUUAACCUGGGAACUGCGUGUGAUACUGGAUGGCUUGAAUCCGGGAGAGGGAUGCAGAAUUCCAGGUGUAGCGGUGAAAUGCGUAGAUAUCUGGAGGAAUACCGGUGGCGAAGGCGGCAUCCUGGACCGGCAUUGACGCUGAUGAGCGAAAGCUAGGGGAGCAAACGGGG
rnacentral:rRNA from 1 species